rnacentral:rRNA from 1 species
GUACGGGAGGCAGCAGUGGGGAAUUUUGGACAAUGGGCGCAAGCCUGAUCCAGCCAUUCCGCGUGAGUGAAGAAGGCCUUCGGGUUGUAAAGCUCUUUCAGGAGGGAAGAAACGGUUGCAGCUAAUACCUGCGACUAAUGACGGUACCUUCAGAAGAAGCACCGGCUAACUACGUGCCAGCAGCCGCGGUAAUACGUAGGGUGCGAGCGUUAAUCGGAAUUACUGGGCGUAAAGCGUGCGCAGGCGGUUUUGUAAGUCAGAUGUGAAAGCCCCGGGCUCAACCUGGGAACUGCGUUUGAAACUACAAGGCUAGAGUGUAGCAGAGGGGGGUAGAAUUCCACGUGUAGCAGUGAAAUGCGUAGAGAUGUGGAGGAAUACCGAUGGCGAAGGCAGCCCCCUGGGUUAACACUGACGCUCAUGCACGAAAGCGUGGGGAGCAAACAGGAUUAGAUACCCCGGUAGC